UACGGAGGCGCCGGGCGAUGUCCGGAAUUACUGGGCGUAAAGGGCGCGCAGGCGGAUCUUCACGCCUGACGUGAAAGCCCCCGGCUCAACCGGGGAGGGGCGUCGGGGACUGAGGCGCUUGAGGAUGGGAGGGGGUGGUGGAAUUCUGGGUGUAGUGGUGAAAUGCGUAGAGAUCGAGAGGAACACCAGUGGCGAAGGCGGCCGGCUGGGCCGAUCCUGACGCUGAGGCGAGAAGGCGUGGGGAGCAAACGGG
rnacentral:rRNA from 1 species